rnacentral:rRNA from 1 species
AAUAGAUACCCGGGUAGUCCACGCCGUAAACGAUGAGUGCUAGGUGUUGGGGGGUUCCACCCUCAGUGCCGAAGCUAACGCAUUAAGCACUCCGCCUGGGGAGUACGGUCGCAAGACUGAAACUCAAAGGAAUUGACGGGGGCCCGCACAAGCAGUGGAGCAUGUGGUUUAAUUCGAAGCAACGCGAAGAACCUUACCAAGACUUGACAUCCCGCUGACCUCUCUAGAGAUAGAGAUUCCCUUCGGGGCAGCGGUGACAGGUGGUGCAUGGUUGUCGUCAGCUCGUGUCGUGAGAUGUUGGGUUAAGUCCCGCAACGAGCGCAACCCCUAUGUUGUGUUGCCAUCAUUUGGUUGGGCACUUACAACAGACUGCCGGUGACAAACCGGAGGAAGGCGGGGAUGACGUCAAAUCAUCAUGCCCCUUAUGUCUUGGGCUACACACGUGCUACAAUGGCCGGUACAAAGCGUUGCCAACUCGCGAGAGGGAGCUAAUCGCAUAAAACCGGUCUCAGUUCAGAUUGGAGU